AUUGAACGCUGGCGGCAGGCCUAACACAUGCAAGUCGAACGGUAACAGGAAGAAGCUUGCUUCUUUGCUGACGAGUGGCGGACGGGUGAGUAAUGUCUGGGAAACUGCCUGAUGGAGGGGGAUAACUACUGGAAACGGUAGCUAAUACCGCAUAACGUCGCAAGACCAAAGAGGGGGACCUUCGGGCCUCUUGCCAUCGGAUGUGCCCAGAUGGGAUUAGCUAGUAGGUGGGGUAACGGCUCACCUAGGCGACGAUCCCUAGCUGGUCUGAGAGGAUGACCGGCCACACUGGAACUGAGACACGGUCCAGACUCCUACGGGAGGCAGCAGUGGGGAAUAUUGCACAAUGGGCGCAAGCCUGAUGCAGCCAUGCCGCGUGUAUGAAGAAGGCCUUCGGGUUGUAAAGUACUUUCAGCGGGGAGGAAGGGAGUAAAGUUAAUACCUUUGCUCAUUGACGUUACCCGCAGAAGAAGCACCGGCUAACUCCGU
rnacentral:rRNA from 1 species